rnacentral:rRNA from 1 species
AGAGUUUGAUCCUGGCUCAGGAUGAACGCUAGCGACAGGCCUAACACAUGCAAGUCGAGGGGCAGCGGGGAGGUAGCAAUACCUUUGCCGGCGACCGGCGCACGGGUGAGUAACACGUAUGCAAUCCACCUGUAACAGGGGGAUAACCCGGAGAAAUCCGGACUAAUACCCCAUGAUAUGGGCUCUCCGCAUGGAGGGUCCAUUAAAGAGAGCAAUCUUGGUUACAGACGAGCAUGCGCUCCAUUAGCCAGUUGGCGGGGUAACGGCCCACCAAGGCGACGAUGGAUAGGGGUUCUGAGAGGAAGGUCCCCCACAUUGGAACUGAGACACGGUCCAAACUCCUACGGGAGGCAGCAGUGAGGAAUAUUGGUCAAUGGACGAGAGUCUGAACCAGCCAAGUAGCGUGAAGGAUGAAGGUCCUACGGAUUGUAAACUUCUUUUAUAAGGGAAUAAACCCUCCCACGUGUGGGAGCUUGUAUGUACCUUAUGAAUAAGCAUCGGCUAACUCCGUGCCAGCAGCCGCGGUAAUACGGAGGAUGCGAGCGUUAUCCGGAUUUAUUGGGUUUAAAGGGUGCGUAGGCGGCACGCCAAGUCAGCGGUGAAAUUUCCGGGCUCAACCCGGACUGUGCCGUUGAAACUGGCGAGCUAGAGUGCACAAGAGGCAGGCGGAAUGCGUGGUGUAGCGGUGAAAUGCAUAGAUAUCACGCAGAACCCCGAUUGCGAAGGCAGCCUGCUAGGGUGCGACAGACGCUGAGGCACGAAAGCGUGGGUAUCGAACAGGAUUAGAUACCCUGGUAGUCCACGCAGUAAACGAUGAAUACUAACUGUUUGCGAUACAAUGUAAGCGGUACAGCGAAAGCGUUAAGUAUUCCACCUGGGGAGUACGCCGGCAACGGUGAAACUCAAAGGAAUUGACGGGGGCCCGCAC